rnacentral:rRNA from 1 species
UACGUAGGGGGCGAGCGUUGUCCGGAAUCAUUGGGCGUAAAGGGCGCGUAGGCGGCCUUUUAAGUCAGGUGUGAAAACCUAAGGCUCAACUUUAGGCCUGCAUCUGAAACUAGAAGGCUUGAGGACAGGAGAGGGAAGUGGAAUUCCAAGUGUAGCGGUGAAAUGCGUAGAUAUUUGGAAGAACACCGGUGGCGAAGGCGGCUUUCUGGACUGUAACUGACGCUGAGGCGCGAAAGCCAGGGGAGCGAACGGG